CCUACGGGGGGCUGCAGUGGGGAAUUUUGGACAAUGGGGGCAACCCUGAUCCAGCCAUGCCGCGUGCGGGAAGAAGGCCUUCGGGUUGUAAACCGCUUUCGGCCGGAACGAAAUCGCCGGGGAGAACAUCCCCGGUGGAUGACGGUACCGGAAGAAGAAGCACCGGCUAACUACGUGCCAGCAGCCGCGGUAAUACGUCGGGUGCGAACUGGGAUCGGAAUUACUGCGGGUAAAGCGUUCACACAGAUGUGAAGUCCCCGGGCUUAACCUGGGAACUGCGUUUGUGACUGGCGGGCUGGAGUGCGGAAGAGGGAGGUGGAAUUCCACGUGUAGCAGUGAAAUGCGUAGAGAUGUGGAGGAACACCGAUGGCGAAGGCAGCCUCCUGGUCUAGCACUGACGCUCAUGCACGAAAGCGUGGGGAGCAAACAGGAUUAGAUACCCGAGUAGUC
rnacentral:rRNA from 1 species